rnacentral:rRNA from 1 species
GUAGGUGGCAAGCGUUGUCCGGAAUUAUUGGGCGUAAAGCGCGCGCAGGCGGUCCUUUAAGUCUGAUGUGAAAGCCCACGGCUCAACCGUGGAGGGUCAUUGGAAACUGGGGGACUUGAGUACAGAAGAGGAAAGCGGAAUUCCAAGUGUAGCGGUGAAAUGCGUAGAGAUUUGGAGGAACACCAGUGGCGAAGGCGGCUUUCUGGUCUGUAACUGACGCAGAGGCGCGAAAGCGUGGGGAGCAAACAGGAUUAGAUACCCUGGUAGUCCACGCCGUAAACGAUGAGUGCUAAGUGUUAGGGGGUUUCCCGCCCCCUUAGUGCUGCAGCUAACGCAUUAAGCACUCCGCCUGGGGAGUACGGCCGCAAGGCUG